rnacentral:tRNA from 1 species
GGACGCAUAGCUCAGUUGGCUAGAGCGCACCCCUGAUAAGGGUGAGGUCCCAGGUUCGAAUCCUGGUGUGUCCA